rnacentral:misc_RNA from 1 species
AAAAAGUAUCAUUCAGUAAAAGUCUGAAACAAUUUUAUUGUGCCAACCCUUUAUAGGACAAUAACAAGAGCCCAGCUUAUGCGGUCUUUAUGGACAUUACUUUAUAUAGGGAUUGCUCUAAUCCUAUGCCAGAUAAAGGCCAAAGCCGCAAUGGAGCAGAGCCACAGCACCUCUGUCGCGGGUAUGGUGAAGUUGGUCCUGCUGGAGGCCAAGCUCAUUGAGAAUCUCAGCAGCUAUGCGGAUGAGCUCGAGAAGAAAUUGAAUAUAUUGAAAAGGGUCGUUCCACUAUUGCAAGAGAAAAGCAAUAAGGCCAUGAGUCAAAUGGAGCAAUAUGUGUCGAAUCCAAUAAACGCAUUUUCUCUGAUACGUCGGUUACAUAAGGAUUGGAAUAAAUGGAAGUUAUUCAUGGAGGAGCCACUGGGCUCAUCGCAGGUGGCUUAUGUAAAUGCACACGAAUCCCAGCUGCCGAGCCAAACUGAUUUGGAUGAGACAUGCCAAGGCUUGCACCGGCUAUAUGAUGUGUACAACCUGACGGUGAAGGACAUCGCCAGGGGGCUAAUUAACGGGAAGCAGUACGACACCAGUCUAGGAGCCUUGGAUACCUACGCGAUGGGCAAGUACCUGGACCAGAAUCGAAUUCAAGAUUUGGCCAUGGAGUGGUUUGCGGAGACAGGCAAGUUGCUAAUGGAGCACACACUCCCAAUACCAAUGGGAGGUGAACGUCAACAAGUGCUGCAACUCUUUGCGAGAGCAUUUAUCAAACAGAAGCAUUACACAAUCGCGCUGCCCCUCUUGGACCACGCUCUGAUGAAGGGCAACAAAACAAACAAUUCAGAUCUGUUAAAUGAGAGGGCUCAAAUCGAGGAAUUGGUGGGAACGGCGCCCAAAUUAAGGCCAAGCAUUAGAUAUACGACUGAUUACGCUAGAGGAUGCCGCGGUCAAUUCGUGCAACAAACCAACUUGAUUUGCAAGUACAAGUUCAGGCCUUCGCCGUUUCUCCGCCUGGCACCGCUCAAAAUGGAGGUUCUGGUGGUUAAACCAUUUAUAGUGGCCUUUCACGACGUGCUGUCACCACAUGAAAUAGGCGAACUGCAACAGCUCGCAAUGCCGCUUUUAAAGCGCACAACCGUAUAUGAUUCAAAUGCUGGCCUUCAUGGAUCUGUCAAAGGCACACGGACCUCAAAGGGUAUUUGGCUUUCUCGCAGCCAUAAUAACCUGACAAAGCGGAUUGGUAGACGCAUUUCGGAUAUGACUGGAUUUCAUUUAGAAGGCUCAACCUCACUACAAGUCAUGAACUACGGCUUGAGUGGGCACUACGCUCUGCAUACCGAUUACUUCAAUACCGCAGAGCUUAUUGCACCAGAGAGUCCGACGGGUGAUCGCAUUGCUACGGUUCUGUUCUAUCUAAGUGAUGUAGAACAAGGUGGUGACACUGUGUUCCCUCGCAUUGAGCAGGCUUUCAAGCCAGAGCGCGGAAAGGCUCUUCUCUGGUACAAUUUGCAUCGCAAUGGAACAGGCGAUAAGAGAACGGAGCAUGGCGCCUGUCCAGUGCUAGUGGGUUCCAAGUGGAUAAUGACCCAAUGGAUAAACGAACGGCCGCAGCUCUUUGCUCGACCUUGUCUCCGGGAGAGCACCAAAUGAAUUUGCCUGAUGUUCUAAAACAACUUUUCAUCAUUUCAAACUUUUAAACUGCCAAUAAACAUAUCGUUUUGUGCAAGUUUUCAGCCUGAUUGAACUGCUGCUGAUGUCACUUCAAAUGCGGAAACAUGGACACAAACUCCUUUAGUCAUCCGACACAAGCCCGCUACCAGCCCAUCUACCCG